GGCGGCAAGGGUCAGUUGAGAGAGGAGGCGGCACACAGAGUGUGGGAGCCACGGGGGGACGGCGGCAGGGGCGAGCCAGUUGCCUCCCACCCAGUACCUGAGCCAGAACGCCGUGUCCUCACCUUGGCUGAGGGGGAGCCGCUCAUGAUGCAGGGCCCCCUCUGAGGAGCUCGGCAAGGCCCACUUUGACAAAGAAGCCAGGAAGAAACCAAGACCAGGAAGUGCCUCACUGGGACACAUCAACAGGGGACCCUCUCGCCAAAACUCUUUAUCCCCCAGUGUCUGGUAGGCUUACGGGCCCCCACCCAUCCCUACCCAAGCUAAACACACAUGUGCAGGCAGGCAAGUGCCCCAUCACCCAUGAUGAUUGACAGGGGGUUGAGGAAUUUAGGGACCAUCAAUCACAGGAUGUUAGAACCGGAAGAACCUUCGAGACCUUUGAGUCCUACCCUGCCCCUUGCCCCUAGAUCCAGGCGGAGACACUGAGGCUCACCCUGGCUGAACCUGACAGCUAGAAGCAUGUGCUGCUCACUCGCCCUGCCCCACCCCUGAGGACUGAGGGGUCAGCAGGGCUUGGAGAAUUUGUCAACAGGGGCCAGGCUGUAUUUGGGCCCCAUGGGGCCUGACUCCCUAAGUGACUUCACACGACCUUUUUCCCCUCUCUGGGCCUCAAUUUUUUUCUCACCUGUGAAAACCGGGGGGUCUCACCUGCUUUGCCUGCUUAGUAGAUGAAUAGAUAUGCAGGCUCUCAGAAAAUAGGCAAGUGUAAUGGCCACAGGGGGCUGCCUCGUAAAGACAAAGCUGGGAGACUCUAGAGGUUGGGGCCCAGGUGUUAAACCACCAGAGACAAGGCUCUCCACACAGAGCCCCUAACUGACAGCUUGCAGCCUCCUACAGCCCUCAUGCAAGGUGAGGCAGGCAGCACAUCAUAAGGGGACAAGGGACUCCCAGUAACCUGCUUAAGGCAGGGACAAGGACCCAUGGAAAGAAAUGGCCCCAUGUGGGGGACCUCCUUUUCUGUGAGUGACUAUAGCCAAAUCCAGUAGUAUCUGGGCCUCAAUCUCCGCUUCUGGGAAUGGGGGUAGGUGGUUGAGUUUCGAAGGUUCCUUCCAGCCUGGCAAAGCCAAACUCUAGCUCCCAAUACAAAUACUAGGCAGGGCACAGAACACUCCUGCCCAUUCCCUAGGAUAAGGAUAGGGAAGGUGGGCAAGAUAGCAUGGGGGACCCAGCCCUGUCGCUAGGCCACACCAGACCUUACACAUGUCUGCUCAUUCCCCCUGCAUAGGCAGGAAAGGCUUAGAGAGGAAGCCAUAGCGGGUGGGGACCCAGGGAGGUGAGUGCCUGAGCUGGUCAGCCCCAAGGUGGUACCUUCUGGACAUCGGGCUCGGUCAGUAACCGGGUAGCCAGGUCACUGUCCCCCUCAGGGGGCGCCCGGGCCUGCAGGUACAGCUGUGGGGA